rnacentral:lncRNA from 1 species
CCCACGCAUACGCCCCCGGCGCUGCUGCGGCGGCUGGCUUGGGAGGGGGUCGAGGGAGCGGGAGCUUGGGGUGGGCUUCGGGAGCGCAGGGAACGGCGGGAGCCGGGAGGUGACGGCUAGCAGCGUGAGAAGGCCGCUGGCUCCUGAGAAAUCCCCCUCCUCCAGGUGGUUUUGUCCUUUUGGACCAAUUAUCUAACCUGGGCCUGGACUCCAUCUACCACUGUCCUGCCUGGUUCACUGCAGCUCACUUCAUCUUCCUGUGCCUUCUCUGAAAGGGCCCCUCCAAAAGUUUCCUGGGUAUGUCCCCUCAAGAAACUCUCAAACAACUGAGAAGGUGCCUCGACAUCUGAUUUGCCCCAAACCUCUAUACACUGGACAUCUUCUGAAUAAGGCUGUGUUGUAUGUUGGGACAAGCAAAGGGAUGGAAAUCAAGAAUUCUGGGUUUUAGUCCUGACUGUCACUACAUGGCUGUGUUACUUCUGACUCUGUGAAGCAGAACUCGGGCCUCUAGCGUCUGCUAGUCUAGAUCUAAAGGUGUUUCCUGAGGGACAGUUUGGCCUGGCAUGCAGAAUCCCCAUGUUGUUGGAAGUGGCAAUGAACUCAGUGAAAACACGACAUUUCCCAGCAUCUCUUGCAGCCAGAGG